AGCGAACGCUGGCGGCAGGCUUAACACAUGCAAGUCGAACGGGCAUCUUCGGAUGUCAGUGGCAGACGGGUGCGUAACACGUGGGAACGUACCCUUCGGUUCGGAAUAACUCAGGGAAACUUGAGCUAAUACCGGAUACGCCCUUUUGGGGAAAGGUUUACUGCCGAAGGAUCGGCCCGCGUCUGAUUAGCUUGUUGGUGGGGUAACGGCCUACCAAGGCGACGAUCAGUAGCUGGUCUGAGAGGAUGAUCAGCCACACUGGGACUGAGACACGGCCCAGACUCCUACGGGAGGCAGCAGUGGGGAAUAUUGGACAAUGGGCGCAAGCCUGAUCCAGCCAUGCCGCGUGAGUGAUGAAGGCCUUAGGGUUGUAAAGCUCUUUUGUCCGGGACGAUAAUGACGGUACCGGAAGAAUAAGCCCCGGCUAACCUCGUG
rnacentral:rRNA from 1 species